AAAUUCAGACUUGGUGAUGGUGCUGGUGUUGUGUCUGAUUCUGCUGUGGAAUCAGGUGGUGCCGGGGGACUUUUGCGAACAAUUGUUGGUGCUGGAGCUGGUGCCUGAUGCCUCCUGUGCCUGUGCCUGUGCCUUCUAUGCUUAUGUGACGAUGGCGCCGGUGCUGGUACCUCUACUACCGGCGUUGGUGCCAAUGUUGGUGGUGGAGGAACAGGAGCUGGAGUUGGUGCUGGCUUUGUAGGUGCAGGAGCGGGUGCUGGUGUUGCCUUUGCUGGUGCAGGUGCAGGGGGUGUUUUGGCUGGUGUUGGAGCUAUCUUUGGUGGUGGCAAUGGCGGUGGCGUAGAAACGGGUGGUGGAGGUAUCGGGGGUGGCGAUGUGGGAGUUACAACUGGUGAUACUUUUGGUGGUUGUGGUUGUGGAGUUUGGGGUGGUGGGGCUUUUGGGCUUGAAGCAGGUGCAACUUUUGGAGCUGGUGGUGUCACAGGUGCGGGUUUGGGAGCUACAAUUGCAGGUGGCUGGGAUGUAGUUGGUGGUGUACUUGUGGUGGGAGGGGAUGCCACCACUGUUGGUGGUAGUGUUACCGCCAGUGGCGUGCCGGAAGAUGGUGAUGUUGCAGCUGGGGUUGUAGGUGGUGAGUUUGCCGGCGCAGUUGCAGGUGCUUGGGCAUUGGAAGGUAGCUGGCCACAGAGGCUUACCAAAGCCAAAGCCCAGAACACUGCAGCCAUUGUAUGUUGUGAUCUGGUUGAGAAAGCAGAGAGUUUGCUUCUUAUAUAUGGGCUAAUGUGAAGCACAAGGUUGAAACGUAUGGUGUGGACUAUCUGUGGAAGGAAGAAUGUAGCCUUCACGUGAUUGUGACAUCAUUUAAAUAUUAAUCAUCUAACGAGUAACGUUAACAAAGGAAAAUAGUAGAGUUAGAUUUAGCUUCACUUGCAUCAAGGGGGACCCUUGAAAAUCAUUAGUCCUGGUCAUUUAGACUUUUAUCACAGGUUCACACAUUCAUAUUAUGGUUAUGGCCUAACUUGUAUUUUAAGUAGACUUAAUUAUUUUUCAUAUUUGCCAGGACAAAAGGUUGGGUGGAUUAGGAGGGAUGGAAUGAAUAAAAUAAUGUUUUAUGUUAAUGAGAACAUAAUUUCACCUACUAAUUUCUACACAUACCUAUAUGUAAGUACGGGGUCUCUAUCACUUUCUGUUAAUACUUGAUGGUUCAACUUACCAUUGUGAUUGUGAUGUUUCAUCAGCAGUUCAAUCGUUGUACGUACUCUAGGUUUCUGUUUCUUGCAAGUGAUAUCAAAUUCUCACCCAAUCACCCUUUCCAAAUAAAUGAAAGGGAACAAUGACAGACAGGCUUUACUAUAUCAUUACAUUCUAGUCAUCAUCCUAAGCGUUUGAAGUCAUUACUUGAAAUUAAGUAGGCAACGUCUGAAAUUAUUGUCUUUGACAGCUUAACUGAUUGAAUACUCUAGAGAAAUUGAACAUUGUACUUUUCACAAUGACCAUUCGUUCAUGUUUGAUUAUUUUAUUUAGAAGCUCAUUUAAAACAUGGGAAAAUAUGUGAUUAUUCUCUUUUACAAACAAAACAUGAUGUGGAAGACGUCAUGUAUCUUGUUGAGUAACUUGGAGGGGUGGUGAGUAACAGGAAGGCAAGAAGGGUCAUUUGACGGUUCCUCUUUCUUCUUUUUCCUUCUUAGCUGAAAGAAUUGUUGCAUUGCAUCCGCACACUCAGUGGCCAAGACCCCUCUUCUUAUUUUCAUGUUUGGAUGGAAUGGAUGAACUGGGGCAGGAGGUAUAUCUCUUUGUUCUGAUACAUUUUCUCCUCCAUCAGGGAAAAUUCUGCAGAAAAAAGUUCAAGAAAGAGCUAUAAUAUUUGAUGUACUGAGCUUUCAAGAAAAUUUCCAAAAGGACUCAAUUUCAGUUAGAAAAACAAUUGGAAACCCCUGCCCUACUUAAGUUGUAAUCCUAGCACAUUUGGACAAAUGCAGCUUAUUAAAGUUCAGAAAAAGGUAAAUUAGGGAUAAAUUCCAGUAAAAAGAUGUUGGCAAUGGGGUUGUAUACAGAAAUGGCAUCUAUAUAACAUAAGAGACUUUAAUAGACGUGCUCGGUCAAUGUAAAAAUUUUUACAACCAAUAAGAAAUUAUCCUUGAUAUAACUUUUAAGCUAGUUAUUAUAAAAAGACAAAUGUGAACUAGUGUCCAAAGGACAUUGGUUAAGAAACUUAAAGUAGAAAUGUUUUUAUUGGGAGGCGGAAAAUUGUGUUGCCCAUGAUUUUCUUUAUGCCUUUUUAUGAUUUACACAAUAAAUCUUUCUCCUUUUAGUUUUUUAACCAAUGCUCCAAGGGCACUGGUUAGCAAGACCCUUAUAAAAAUCAAUAAAUUGACCCUACUUCAUUGUUGAACGUGUAUCAGCAGUAGCCUAUUAGUUUGUUAUUUUCUAUUAAUUGUUUGACCAAGUUUUUAGACUAGUUGUUUUAUUUUCUGUUACUUAGUAGUUGUUAUGUUAGUGGUUUGUUAUUGAUAUGUUAGUGGUUGGUUAUUAUUUAGAAAAUCAGUUAUUAUUGUUUCUUUCUGUUACAAUAAAUCUGUAUUUAAAUAGAUGAUCAUUCAAUAAAAAUGUGUGCAUUCAUCUCCCUUAAUUUUGUGAGUUACGCUAAUUUUACAACAAAUUGGUAUCUAAAGCCUUCUUAAGAAGGACCUCUAAGUGAACUAAGUGAAACCCAUCACAAAAAAAAAGCAUAAACACUUUGCUUCAAUUCAUCUGAUAAAUGGAUUUUGAAACACCAUACAGAGCACUAGCACCAUCUAUGUUUGAUGGUGACAAUUAUCAAAUCUGGGCAGCGAGUAUGAAGGCACAUCUGGAGGCAAAUGAUCUCUGGGAAGCUAUUGAGGAAGACUACGAAGUUCUUCCCUUACCAACUAAUCCAACAAUGGCACAGAUAAAAAAUCAAAAAGAAAGGAAAGCAAGAAAGUCAAAGGCAAGAGUUACUUUGUUUGUUGCUAUCUCAAAAGAAAUUUUCAAUAGAAUCAUGACCAUCAAAUCAGCAUAUGAAAUCUGGAGUUUCCUCUAGAAUGAAUACGAAGGAGAUGAAAGGAUUAAAGGAAUGCAAGCCCUAAAUUUGAUUAGAGAAUUUGAGAUGCAGAAAAUGAAGGAGUCCAAAACAAUUGAAGAGUAUGCUAACAAGCUUCUUAGCAUUGCUAACAAAAUAAGAUUGUUUGGUUCUAAUUUUUUCGACUCAAGAAUAGUUGAGAAAAUACUGGUAACUAUCCCUGAAAGAUUUGAGACUGCUAUUACAUCCUUGGAGAAUACUAAAGAUUUGUCAAAACUUACGUUAACAGAAUUUGUAAAUGUUUUACAAGCCCAGGAGCAAGGAAGAAAAAUGAGGGCUAAGGGUUCUAUAGAAGAAGCAUUGCAAGCUAAAUUGCAAACUAACCAAUGAGAGAAAAGCAAGUGGAAGAAAUACAAGAAGAAUAAUUUCAACACCCAAGAAGCAGCAGCCAACACAAGCAACAAUAAUGGAGACAACAAAAGAUUUCCUCCUUGCAAGCACUGUGGCAGAAUGGGUCAUCCUCCUUUCAAAUGCUAAAGAAGACCUGAUGUUAAGUGUGAAAAGUGCAACAAGUUGGGGCAUCAUGUGAGUAUUUGCAAAAGCAAUUUUCAACAAAAGAAUUUGGCUUAAGUUGCAGAUCAACAAGAAUAAGAGCAAUUGUUUGUAGCAACAUGUUUUACAAGCAGCAGCUCAAGUGAAUGUUGGCUAGUGGAUAGUGGUUGUAUCAACCACAUGACCCACGAUCAAGAGCUUUUCAGAGAAUUUGACAAAUCACAGGUAUCAAAAGUUAGAAUUGACAAUGGUGAUUUUAUCACUAUUGAAGGAAAGGGAACUGUAGCCAUUGAAAGUUGUGCAGGUACAAAAUUAAUUUAUGAUGUUUCGUAUGUACCUGAGAUUCAUCAAAACUUGUUAAGUGUGGGACAAUUGAUUGAGAAGGGAUUUAAAGUCAUCUUUGAAAAUAAGCACUAUUUGAUUAAAGAUGUCGAUGACAAGGAAAUUUUCAAUAUCAAAAUGAGAGGCAAAAGUUUUUCAUUUGAUCCAUUGAAGGAGGAGCAAGCAGCCAAUCUAGUUACGGUAAACAAUACAGAAGUCUGGCACAAAAGAUUAGGUCAUUUUCAUCAUGCAGUUGUUGAGGAACAAUGCGUAAUCUCACUCGACCAUUAUGCAACGAAUGCUUUAAAUAAUGCAGAUUCUGCCAUGAAGAGAGCAUCGUCAGUGUAUUUGUAAGGAUAUAAGGAGAAGAAGAGUUAGUUAAUAUAGUUAGACUACUAAUGAGUUAGUUAGCUAUUUAGUUAGAGGGAUUUAUUAGAUAUAAAUAGAGGAAGAAGGCUAAGAGAGAGGGGGAUCUUAUCAUUUGUAGAUUGAGCAUUAGCUCUUUGCGAAAGGAGAAAUCCUUUGUGAAGGGGAAACCCUUGGAGGAGAGUUUUUCCUCCUAUUUUCUGUUCUUUUCUUACUAGUCAAUAAAAUCUUUUAUUUUCUUUCUCAUUUCAAUUCUUGGUUCCUAACAGUAUUCAAAAGAAAUGGACCAAUGGCUUCAUCCUUUGAAGCCUUGGAGGUUAAAAAGAUGGAGUUGGAGAUUGAAUCACAAUUUAUGAAUGAAGCUAGUUUAGAAUUGAAUAAUACCAUUGAGCAUUCAAUCCAGAAUGGCAAAAAAGAAAAAGAGAUCCUUUGUAAAAGAAAGGAUGUGUUAAUGGAUGAAUUGGAACAACUUCUUGCUAAAAGUUAAACAGAAAGAAACAAAGAUAGCAGACAAUGACUCUAAUUUAGAAGCUGUAGAAAUUAAGACAUAAAGUUGUCUCUGGAUUUAAAGAGAUGCAGUCAAGCAUUGAUGUCAAGUAUGACAAAUUGCAAUUUGUCCUUGCUCAAGUGAAAUUAGAGACUGAAACUUUGGCUCUAAAGACGGAGGAAAUUGAUAAGUUUCUCAUUCUAGAAGAAGAAAUGGGAGCAAGACUUUGGGAAUUUGCUUGGAUUUCUACAGCAAGCUGAAGGAUACCGUGAAAUUGUUAAACUAAGAAGAAGUUUGAUGUCAUCUACAUUGACGUCCAGGGAGGACAAAUUGACACUUGCAAAGAACAAUGAAAAGCUUUCUGGAGAUGUGAAAUUGUUUCAACAGGAGGUUUCUGCCACAAGAGCUUCCUUGCAGGAACUAUCUUCAAGAAAGUCAAGCAUCCAGCAAGGUAUAGUAUCCUUCAAGCGGAGGAUUAUUUUCAUAGAUAAAAGAGUCCUAGAACUAGAAGCAGAAAAGAAAGUUGUUACUGCUGCAAGAAAUUUCAAGGAGAUUCCACGAAUAGCUACUGAAGCAAAGUCAUUGUGUGUUGAAAAAGAAAGUAUUCAGAUCGACAGGGAUACGACUACAUUAAAUCUUGAGCUACUGAGAGAGAAACUUGGACUUGUCAACCACAGAUACAAGGAGGAAUGUUGAACGUGUAUCAGCAGUUGCCUGUUACUUUGUUAUUUUCUAUUAAUUGUUUGACCAAGUUUUUAGGAUUAGCUGUUUUAUUUUCUGUUAGCUAUUAUGAUAAUAUAUAUAUUUUAAUACACGUGUACAAUCCCUCUUUUUCAAUACUGUUUUUUACGGCAUGACCAAUGCAACUAAAGAUAACAAGCGGGAAAAUAAAGGUGCGUAGAAACCAAUUCUGCCAAAUAUAGGUAAAGUUUCAUGAAACAUUGAUAAACCAUAAAGACUCCCUUGUGAGAACUUAAUGAUAAGCAAAUAAAAGAAGCACGUUGGCUGCAUACCUAAUCCAGCUACCAUCAGCUCCAAGAAGCUUAUUGGGAGCACCCCACACAACAGUGUCUACUCUUGCCUGCAGGAUAGCACCAGCACACAUUGGACAUGGCUCAAGCGUUACAUAAAGUGUAGUGUCCUGAAAGUGGGAAAAUUUUGUCCUUAAACAGAUGAACCAUCAAACUAAUUAUCAAGUUGUAUCAAAUACCAGAACUAAUAGAUAUCAACCAUUUCUCAAGAAAGACAAAAUUACUAAGUGAUCCUUCAAGCAAUGUUUGGUAAGAAAGAAUUGAAAGGAUGGAAAUGGUUCAUCCACCAGGACCACACGUAAGUCCAAAUACAAAAAUAUUCACUACCACUUCAAUUCUCAUUCCCCUGUACUAAAUGAAAAUUGCUUUAGGUUAUUAAACAUGCCAUUAUAGUCGAAUUCUCUCUUUAUUUUACAGGAGCAUUAUUUUUGGUAACAUUACUUAUUAAUAUUGAUUAAAUUAAAUAGCAAUAGAUUAAUAAAGUAAUCAAAUUUGGGCUUCUCUUUAGUGUGUGGCUCACUAGCUCUUUUAAGGGGGUUGCAAUUUCAGAUUCCAAUAUAGAUUGGCCUGCCAUUGUGCACUGAUUUUCUUGAGCUCCAUUUUGCUUGUUCUUUGUAUUUUUUUUUUUUUUCCUUUUGCAGUUCUCUUAUGGGGGAUAUCUUAUCCUUCUAUCUUUAUAUAUCUCAUUUUUCUUAAUGAAUUUCUUCUUUUUUAAUAAAAAAAAUUGCCACAGCAAGGGUUUUCAACAUUAUCAAUCGUUAGAUAUAGAAGUACUAGGGAGUGAUAGAUUAUAAAGUAAUCUGAUCCUAAUAUUAUUUUCUUUCAAUAAUUUCACCUGCUUUAAAAAUGAAUCUAUCUUGCUAAUAUAUACUUUUACAGUUUUGCAUUGGAUAUUUCGAUAAUGCUGUCCACCAUUGCAUGUAUGCAAAUAAACCUUGUCCAUCAUUGUGUCUCCAGCUCUUCCCCAAUAUUCUGGAAAAGCAGGAUUCACAUUUAUUCCUAUGUACUUUCAGUACCACUGGUACUAGCCUAUAAAUAUAUUAAAUAUUUUUUGCUGAGCAAAAAAAAAAAAAUGCGUCCACAUAAGAAUUAAGAAAGCUGCAUAGCAACCAACUAUUCGAAAGUAAAAUUAUGAAUGGUCAAUAGUUUAAUCAGUGAUGAUGAAGGAUGAAAGGCACUACAGGUCUAACGAUAUUUAAUCAUAGGCACUCGUGAAUACAAAAAAAGAGCCUCAACUUUCCCAGUUGAAUGAGGAUAUUUAAUUUUUUUUUUUUAUAGAUCUCUCAUGUCCUCAAUUUUAAAAGUCUCAUCUCUAUAAUUUAUUCUUAUUUUAUAUAAUAAAAUACUUAUUAUUAAUAUUAAUAAUGAAAACAUGUAAUAUUUAAUUUAUUUUUAUUUAUAAAUUUUAUUUAAAUUUAAAAAUAUCUUUGCAAUGGCAACUUGCUUUGUUCUGUAAAAAUAAAUAUUAGACCUGCUGCUAUAGAUAUCUUUUACUCUUUUAACAUAAAAGUGGUGGAAUAUUGUCACAUAUUAAAUUAGUCAUAUGAGCUUAAAAAUUAUACAAGAGAAUCACAACAAUGAAUAUUAAACUUUGGGUGGUGUAAUAUCAAAAUAACUAAAUUUCCAACUAGGAAAGCUUACUGAUAGUCUCCAUGAUCGGAGAAGGUUUGAAGCUUCUCGUAUACAAAUCAUCUCUGCAUGGGCAGUGGAGUCCCGUAACUCUUCUACUCUGAAACAGAUAUUAAGAUAUAAAUUAAAAAUAAAAAAUUAGGGCAAUUACAAAGAAUGAAAUAAUACCAUCACACUUGCAAAAAAUGAAAUAAUAUCAUCACACUUACAAGUUGCAGCCUCGAGCAAUAAUUUUCCCAUGCUGCACAAGAACAGCUCCAACAGGUACCUCCCAUGUAUCAGCAGCCUUCUUGGCUUCCAAAAGUGCUUCCUUCAUGAACAUUUCAUCUACUCUUCGCUGCUCAAGUUCACGUUGAUAGGCUUCUUCCCAGUCAUCAAACCUAUCUCUUAAGACUUGCCUGUUCCGUUGAAACUUCCUUUGCUUCAACUCUCCAUCCUUUCUCUCUGAGCCGGACAAUUCAGACUGCCCAGGAGCAACAGAUUCCUUGAUUGGAACCACUGAUUCAGCUCCAGACAUGUCAGAUCCACCAAUGCUUAUAAUUUCUCCAACAAUAGAAGGCCCUCUGGCAGGUACUGAAAUUGGUAAUUCCAUGUUUUGAGUGCCAGAAGUAUUGACUUUCAAAUUUUUUUUAUCUUCAGUCCAACUAGCAUUUUCCUCUCCAGAAGUGUAAGAUACGCCUACUAACAUUGAUCCACUUUCCAAUGUAUUUGGGGAUGACAAUCCAACUUCAACAUUUUUUCCUUUGUCCUUCAGUUUUGUAUUGUCGGACACCUCUCCCUCACUUUGGGUAUAAUGUUUACCCGGUUUUAACUUAUCAAAAGUCAUGGCUUGUGGUGGUACACUUGUUUCUUUUAUGACAUUAGUUUUAGUGGUUUCCUCAUGCUCCUGCCCAGAAAACCAUGUGUCACUGUCAGACUUGUUUGGUGAAUUUCUCUCAGCAGAAGUGGAGGAACCAGCACGUGAACCCCAACGUAAUCGAACAAUAUCAGCAAUCAUACCCCAUAAGGACCUCCCAGUUCUAGUAACAACUGCUUUCCCAGUUUCCUUGCUGAUCUCUGUUUCUUUGGCUACUAGAACUUGCUCAGCAGAUGGUUCUGUGACAUCCCACAUCUCAUCAGAAGGUCCUUUGGUCCCAGGAAACCCAGAGGAACGACUAGAAUCAUGCUCCUUUGACUGAGCACCAUUUUGAGUGCCUUGUUGCCUUGAGCUGUAGAUCUGAUCACCCCCAACUUCAAGAUUCAAUUUUGUUCCUGUAACUUCCAUCUCUUGUGCUUCUGAAGUCGUUACUUCAUGCCUGAUCCUCUCAGCAAACUCAUCAACAAACUGUCUAGAUGACUUCUCUAAACGAUCAGCUGAAUCAAUAGCAUCUGGAUGCAAAGCAGACCUUCUUCCUGAAUUGUCAUACAAAGCAGAAGAGCCACUUUCUGAAGUUCCAAGGAAGAUCUCAGGGCUUGCAAUUCCUGCAGUGAGUUCAACAUGUGCUGAGUCUCCACCAAUUUCAGAAGAGGAAGGGAUCAACAUUGUUGCAGGCCUCCUUUUUUCACCUGAUGCUAAUAUAAUAUGUUUUCCAGCCCCAGAAAUCAAAUUCAAUGAUCCCUGGGAGCUGGAUUCCUCUCUUGAGGUAGUUUCAUCAGAAAUUGAAAGGUUGCUAGAUCUUUGGUCGUCUCUGGCCAAUUCAAAAUUUGCAAUCCUUUCAUCAGUUUGGCUAGAACUUUCUCUAGUUCUAACAACUGAUGUUGAUUUACUUUUUGGAAUUAAUCUCACCUUCUCAUAAGCUUUUUGAGAACUUGAAACUUGCUUUUCAUCACUGGCAUAGCCUUCUGAUAAAGUGCUGACAAGUUCAGAUCCUUUCCUGUGUUGGAAACUCUGAGUUGUCCUUUUAUCUGUUUGGAGCCACGUAACCCUUGCAUCUGAGCUUAUGUUCGAUUUUUCUUCCAUGUUCAUUAAUCUAGUUCUAGACUUUAUGCUAGAUGUAUCUUCAACAUUGAUCUUGUGAGCUUCUGAUACUUCAGAAAAUUGUUCAGAUUUUUUUCUUCUCUCUUUAUCCUUCACCUUAAUGAUCUUCUCUCCUUUUUGGUAUUGCUGCUCCUCCACUCCCUGAACAGAACUCAAAACUGAAUCUUUUUUCACUUCCAUGUCCUUCAUCCUAGUAUUUGAGGUCCUUUCAGUGUCUUCAAUUUUUAAAUUUCCAGUAUAUUUCUGGGAACUUCUAUCUAUCACAUUCUUUCCAGUGGUAGAAGUAGAACCAACAAUUUUUUUAUGUUUAUCAUUUGUUUCUUGUAAAAGUGUUUCUGAUAUUGCAAGGUUCCCUUCCCUGCCACUGAAUACCUUCUUUGAUGUCAAAGUUUGCUUUCCUGUGGUAGAAGUUGAACUAACAAACUUUUUAUGUUUAUCAGUUGUUUCGUUCAAAAUUGUUUCUGAUAUCUCAAGCUUCCCUUCCCUGCCACUGAAUUCCUUUUGUGAUAACAAAAUUGUCUCAACUUCAUCACAACCAGACUCAGUUUGAAUAUAUGCUUUGUUAGUUUUCUUAUCCAAAUUGACAACACAAGAUGAUUUAUCAUCCUCAAUAUUGACUCGCUUUUGUGAAAUAGAUGAUUUUUUAUGACCAGAUUCAAGUGUUCUAAAUUCUCUUGAAUGCAUGUCCUGUUGUUCUCUUGUGGAUUCAGUGUUUUGCAGAGUUCCCUCAGUCAGCUUCUUUUCAGACUUGUUCCUUAGGUUCCAAUCAAUAUCCACACCAAAUGCAAUUCUUCGCUUAUUUGAAACAGCCUGCAGCUUCUUUGAGUCAUCCCCUUGCCUGUUGAAUUCUUCCUUUACUUGUUCCUCCAGAUGAUUCGCUUCAUCCUUCUCAUAUUCCAGUGACGACUCUUCCAAACCAAUCUCAUCCUGAACUUCCAGCUCACUCCCAAAAUCUCCUGAUGAGAGAGAGUAAUAAGAUGAACAACUAGAUGCAUCUCUUCGUUUCCUAUGGUUUUCACUUUUUGCAAAGGCUUCCCUUUCUUUGUUGGCUUUUCCAUAUUCUCUUCUCAAGUCUAUGGUGGAUGAUUCAUGUCGCUUCAAAUUUCCAUUUUUCUCUGUUUCUACUUUCUCACUUGAACUAAAAUGUCUCUCUCUGCUCAGAUUUUUUCUUUUCUUCUCAACUUCCACUCUUUUUGAUGAAGAUGCAUUCUUACAUUUGCUACCAAUAGCAUCCUUAUCUGCCUCCUCACUCAACAAGCUGAGAACUGCUUCAGCAUCAUCAGAACCAAAUGAAUGGGAAAAUUCUCUCCCUUUCGGGGAAGUAGCACAAAUACAUCUUCCCUUUAUUCUCCAUCUACUAUUAUUGUAAACAGUUCUCUCAUUGACAGAAGAAUUAAGCUCCUGACAACCUCUGAGGACACCAUAAGCUGGUAGCCGGGGAAGGUAAUGGUCUCCACCACCCAAUAUCAACCUUCUAGAUGCCGACAAUUGAAGAAGAGCAGAUUGCCUCAACCCAUUUAUAAGACAAGGUUUUAUGGGUACUCUGUAAGUGGAGACUGAACAGAAAUCACAACAACCACAGCAUGACAAACAGUAUGAUGCGGUUCUGUCAAAUCUUUCGUAACAGAAGUUUGAGUAGCCAUUGAAAGAUAAUGAGAAUGGUUCUUUACACCUAACAGCAUAUAUUGUUGAGCUAACAUAUGCGUUGCUCAUAGUUGCAUGCGUCUUCACACAAGAGUGAGAGAGCGUACCUUGACAAGAGUGGGGUUUUUUUAAUUACAACUGAGCUCAAACAAACAGAGAAAUCAUGUCAGAUGGCAUAGAUUAAAAUGCCAAAACGCAAUAGGCCGUAAUCUGUUAGGUGCUGAUAUAGAAGCUUGGUAUUAGCCUAUGCACAAGAAUAAUCGACAUAGUGAAUCACCUUCGAAAAAAGGACAAGACCUGAUAUUCACACUCUGCUUUCACCUUUCACACCUGUACCAAUAGAUGGUUCAGUGAAAUCAGAAUGACUAAAUCAAUUUAUCUCAGUAUCUAAAAUAAUUUAACCUCAGAACAGAUGGUAACAGAAAACGACACUACACAAUAUUUCAGAAAGGGAUGCAUUCAUCACACUUCCUGAUUGUCUCAACUCUCAUGUCACAACAGUCCCAAAAUACAUAAAGCAGAUCCAUCUGGUACUUUAAAGAGAAAACAUAUGACCAUUCUGUAUUAUCAAUAUUUUUAUUUAGAGAACAACUAAAAAGCAUAAAUAAACUCUGUCAAAAAAAAAACCUGACGCAAAACAUGUCAUAUCUUAUUAUGACAAUUUAAAAAGAUCUUAACAGAAUCACAGUCUCAGCUCCUCAAAUGGUCUCAUCAAUCACUCAUUCCUUUCAUUCAACCACAUUUAACAAAUUCAGUUAUAAUAUUAUCCCAACCACCAAAAAGACUCGUACAAUAUUACACAGAACUUAUCUAAACAGGAAUAACUCACCCACCUCAGGUCACAUCCAUUAACCCAUCAAAAAACUGAGAACACACUACAUAGAUUCAUGUUCAUUCAUCACACAACACAAGUUCAUUAGCCAAAUGAAAUCACUUGAAAUUGACACUCAGAUUCCGCAACAAACUUCAACCCAACACACAGAAACCCCAUUGUACCACACAAUUCCACGGCAGUAAACUACCUAAGUUUAAAUCUAAAAACUACAACUUUUAAUGUAAUCAAACCAUCACCAACCCAGAACAAUCAUUUUGCACUUCAAAAUUUAGAAUCUUCUUACAUUAUUAUUAUUCUUAUAAAACGAAACCAACCCAUUAUAAUUAAAGGGUUUAGUAGACCUAAUGAAAGAGAAAAGAGGAUAGAACGAAAGUGCAUGAAAGAGGUUUGUACCUGUGUUAUAGAAGAAAAGGACCUUGAACAGUGAUGGGGUGUGGUUUUCCUUAGGCUUAACCCACGAAGAGAAGAUUAAUGAGAGUUAAGAUUUGAAUGAUGGGUCAGAGAGAGAGAAAUGAGAUGAGAUUUUGGGAAAGUAAAGAGAGAGUGAGGGAAAUGAAAAUGAUUUGUUUUUGUUGUCUUCUUGGAUUUGUUUUGUUGGUGAGAGAGAGCGACAAGCUGCAGUUGUUUGGGACAGAAGAGAAUAAUUGAAACAAGGAUUUUCUUCCUCCACCCAGCAUUUCUCUAAUGCACCUAGUAGUAGUGAGAACAAAAAAUCAAAAAUACCUUUAUAUAUAAUUCAUACCGAUCCGUAAGUUGUGAGAUUUUUAUAUAUAUAAAUUUUUAUUAAAUUUUUAAUUUUUAUUUAAAAUUUAUAUAUAUAAAAAAAGUACAUUAUUAAAUCAAAAUUAAUUCUUACAAAAUUUAUUAUGUAAUUAUAUGUGUAUUAAAUAUACAUUAAAAAUUUUAGUGUUAUAUAUAGUAACGUUAAUUAUUUUUUAACAUAAUUUACAUAUUAGCUUAGUUGGUUAAAGUGACAUGCUAAUAAUGCGAAAGUUAUGGAUUUGAAACCUUCAAAAAAGAAAAAAGAAAGGAACGAAGAAGUAAAAAAAAAUUAAUUUUUUUAAAAAAUAUAUUAGGUAUAGAAGAAAUUUAAAUGGUGUAAGAAAAAUAAUCCUUGAACCAAAUCCGUUAUGGGCCCAUUUAUGACCACCUUUCGGCAGCUGCUUGAGGCACCCAUCAUUUUUGCUGGGGUACCCAGUAACUUUUAAAAAUGCCAAAAAUACCCUUAUAAAUAGCAAAAUUGAUUUUUCAUUUCUACAGCGUUUUUUUGUUUCCACGAAAUCUCACUCCAUUAGUUUAAGUUGCUUCCGUUAUAGUCGUUUUCGAAGCGUAUUUGGUCUCCAAUGAUGUACGUGUGUCAUUAGGAGUAUACGGUGAAGUUGGGUCGCUAUUCGUCGUUCGAGAAGAAGAAGAAGAAGAAGAAGAAGAAGAAGAAGAAGAAGUACGCAAAAAAAACUUAGGAACAUACUAAUCAACAAUCUGUAUGGUUCAUAUGGAUCAGCAAUUCGUAUGACCAUACGGAUUGUCGUAUGACCAUACGGAUUGCUGAUCCAUAUUCGUAUGAACUAUACGGAUUGUUGAUUCAUAUGUUCAUACGCAUUUCUGUAAUAUUUAAUUUUUUAUUUAAAUUGUAAUUUAAAUAUAAAUAUUCUUAAUUAUAUAUUUAAUUUUUUUGUAGUGUAUUUUUUUGUAAUAUUUUUAACAAUUUUUGAAAUUUUGAUUUGGUGAUAUUAUUUAAUAGUUGUAUAGAAAAAUGUAUUUUGUAAUUAGAAUGGUAAAAAAAAUGAUAAUAUAUAUUAACUUUUAAAAAUUGCUAUAACUAACGUUAGAUUGCUUAUAAAUUAAUUUACCAAUGAUUAAUAAUUAAACAAAUUUAUAUGACAAUGAUUAUGUAUUUAUAUGUUUAACUGAAUUAUGUAUUUUAAUAUUUAUUACAAUGAUGUAUUUAUUAGAUUUAUAUGACAUUUUAAUGAAUACGUGUAGUAAAAAUGUAGUAUAUGGUUAUAUGAUGUACAAUACAUUUUUAUUUUAUUUUUCUAUACAGCUAUAUUUGUGUCAAUAACAAAUGAGGUGAUUGAAUAAUUUUUUUAAGUUGUAUUUUUUGGUCAUUGAAUUUGUUAAAUGUUUUAUUAAGAUGGACGAAGAACAGUGGAUGUAUGAUAGUAUCAUGUCUGAAGAAGUUGAUAUAAAUGUUGAAAAUGAGGAAGAUGUUGGCAUGAAAAUAGAACACGUCGAUUGCUCUAAUGCCUUUAAUACUUCUCAGGUAUUUGUGUAAUUUGUUAUUGUUGGUACAAUAAUUAUAUUAUAUACGUGUUUAUUGAUGUUAGAUGUUUUUUGAAUUGUGUUAUAGUUGUUUGCUAGCCGUGAUAAAGUUUUACAUUGGGAUCGAUCGGUGGCUCAUGACAUUGGAUUUGAUGUCGUCAUAAUGAGGUCAGACACUAAUGCUAGUGUUCGAGGAAGGGCCUCCUUUCUGUUAAUAGCUUGCGAAAGGAGUGGUGAAUAUAGGCCGAAGAAGAAUGAUUUGGUAAGAACAUGCACUAGUAGUAGAAAAUGUGGAUGCUCGUUCAAGUUGCGUGCGAAGCCAGUUUUGAGAGGAGAAGGAUGGAUGGUGAAGUUAAUUUGUGGGAUUCAUAAUCACGAAUUGGCAAAGUCAUUAGUUGACCAUCCAUAUGUGGGUCAAUUGACAAAGGAAGAGAAGAUUAUUGUUGCUGAUAUGACGUAGUCAAUGGUGAAGCCAAGAAAUAUUCUAUUGACAUUGAAGGAACACAAUGCCAACAGUUAUACAACAAUCAAACAAAUUUACAAUGCCAAACAUGCUUAUCGUUCUUCCAUAAGAGGGAGUAACACCGAAAUGCAACAACUGAUGAUGUUGCUUGAUCGAGAUCAAUAUAUUCACUGGCAUAGGAUGAAGGAUGAUAAUGUUGUACGCGACUUGUUCUGGAGUCAUCCUGAUGCAGUAAAAUUAACCAAUUCUUGUAAUUUGGUUUUCUUGAUUGACAGUACCUGCAAAACAAAUAGGUACAAGCUGUCGUUGCUUAAUAUUGUUGGUGUUACACCAACAAGAAUGACAUUCUCCAUUGCUUUUGCUUACUUGGAAGGAGAACAUCUUAAUAACAUUGUUUUGGCUCUACAACGGUUUCAGAGUCUUUUCAUGAGAGUUGAUGCACUCCUCGGGGUUAUUGUGACCGACAGAGAUUUGUCUUUGAUGAAGCAGUGAAAACUGUAUUCCCAGAUGCUACGAACUUGUCGUGUCAGUUUCACAUUGACAAGAAUGUGAAGGCAAAGUGCAAAACCCUGGAUGCUCAAAAGAAUGCAUGGGGUUAUGUGAUGGAGGCUUGGGGGAGUUUCGUUCAUUGUCCAUGUGAGAGUUCUUUUGAUGAGUACCUUAAAAACUUUGAAAUGGCUUGCUCUCCGUGGCCUAUGUUUGUGGACUAUGUGUGUCAAACAUGGGUGAUUCCGCACAAAGAAAAAUUUGUGAAAGCAUGGACCAACAAAGUGAUGCAUCUAGGAAACACAACCACUAACAGGUAUCAAUAUUGUUUUUUGUUUGUGUUGAUUUGUUUAAGUGUUGACUUAAAUGAAAAUGUUGUGAUUGUUUAUAUGAUGUUGUAUAUUUCAUUUGUAGGGUUGAGAGUGCUCAUUGGUCAUUAAAGAGACUCCUAUAAAACUCUCUUGGUGACAUAUGCAGUGUUUGGGAAGCAAUGAACAAUAUGAUGGCACUUCAACACACCCAGAUUAAAGCAUCUUUUGUGUUUAAAGUUACCUUGUACAAAAAACUACUUGGUAUGGUAUCAAGGUACGCUUUAAAUGAAAUUGCUAUUGAGUAUGAGCGUGUACUUUAUGCAGGAAAAAACCAUUCACGUUGUGGAUGUGUCAUGAGGAGUACCCACGGUAUUCCAUGUGCAUGUGAGUUAUCUAAAUAUGUUGUUAGCUUCAUACCACUAGAGACAAUCCAUAUUUUUUUGCGAAGACUUAGUUUUUCAGAUCAAGGGUUAUGUGAGGCACAAGUGACCAUAACUGAGGAGAUGGAAACCAUAUCGAAACGCUUUGAGCAACUCAAUGCUUGUGGCAAAGUACAUUUGAAGACAAAGUUGCGAGAAAUUACUUAUCCUGAUAUGAACUCCAUGUGUCCUCCUCUAGAAAAGGUGAAGACCAAGGGUGCUCCAAAAAAAUUGCUGACCAAACAACAAAAGUCAACAAAACACGAUCCAUCUUAUUAGGAGUAUGUUGUUGCGUUACACUCUGUGCAAAAUAGUAAUUCUUCAGUGAAAUAUAGUGCAUCAUCAUUUGAGGAACCAAUAUAGAGACAUAAUAUUCCAAUGUUGGAUCAAUUUCAUCCGUGCAUCCAGGAUUAUAUUGAAAACAUUAUUGAUGUUAAAGCGGAUGGUAACUGUGGUUAUCGGGCAAUAGCUGCCUUAUUGGGUAUGGGUGAAGAAUCGUGGUCAUUGGUGCACAAACAUCUGCAUAAAGAACUGACAAGCUGGUCGGAAAAGUAUAUCAACCUACUUGGUGACAUAGAGAGAUUUGAGAAAUUAAAGUGUUCCCUACUUGUUGACGGAUUAUCUAUGGUGUGUAAGUUCAUUGUUAUGUCACUUUUUCUUAAAAUAACAUUUAAGUAACCGUUAUUUGUUGUCUUUUACAUGUAGGUUACCAUGGACAAGUGGAUGAAUAUUACGAAUAUGGGAUAUGUCAUUGCUUUACGAUACAACGUGAUUGUUGUUUCUCUUUCACGACAACAAAGCAUGACAUUUUUUCCUCUUAGAAGUCAACAGCCACCAGAUUCUAUGUGUUGUCAACUAUAACAAUGUUGUGUCAUGAUUUAAUUUUGCAUCAGACAUGCAUUGCUACUAUCAUAACUAUGUGUGUGCUGUCAACUGAGUACUCAUUUCUAUGUCAGUAUGUACAUGUAGUAAUCAUUUUUUUAAAGAUACGCAUGCAAUUAACAGUGUGUUAUCAACUUUGAGAAUGAUUUACGAUGCAACAAAAAAAUACAUUCAUAAUUGGUUACAAACGAUUUAAUUUAAUCCUAAAAUAAACAUUAACAAAUAAUUAACAAUAAACAGAUGACAAAAAUUAUAGACCUACCAAAUGUUAUUGUCCAUACAUAAAUGUACGAUAUAAAUAAAUUAUCAAAAAAUAAAAAAUAAAAAAAUAACAUUAAUAAGGCAAAUAAAAAAAAUCAACUCCAAUGACCAUCUGUACGCCGCCUAUGCCUCGAUCUGUGACCUACAGCUAGUUGGCAAAUGAAGCUUCUUGUGAUGCCCACACAUUUUUCGGCAACAAUAUAGGCUUUUGUUCCUUCGGUCAAGAUCCUUAGAUUCAGUAGCCUCUCCAACUUAUCAACAAUUGUUGCAAAACCAUCCUAGCAGGUAAAAAAAAAACAAAGAUAACAAUUGUUAGUAAUAUAAUAGAAAAGAAAACAACAAACACAAAUUUCAAAAAAAAAAUAUAUUACCACUGCAUGUCCAACAUGAUGCACCUCAGCGUCUGCCUCAUCAGGUGCCGUUGUUGCCACCUGUUGUUGAUGCACAUGUGGUUCAACAAAUGUGUCAUAUUGCUGAAACGGCAGAACUCUAGGAGGAUCCCCUGGCUAUGCCGGACUGAUGAAUGGGUGUGAAAUCAUGUAGAACCAAUCCAUGUAAUCUGGCGAACACUGGCUAGGCACUACACAAAUUUGUCCUACAGGUUCAAUUUAGCCACUGAACUGCAUCCAUCUAUCAUCCACCUCUUCAAAAGAAAGUGAAGGCAUGGUAGGACGAGGCAGAAUAGUCUGGAUGUAUCCAAACUGUCGUACAACCCUCUCCGAUCGAUGAAUUACUGUCAAGGGACCCCAUCUGAGAUGGCCGGAAAACAACGUGAUGACCUCAAAUUCUUUGAAUGAAUGAUGCUCACCAUAUGGAAUCCAUCACACUAUGUCAGGGGUCAGUCUGUCUAGACGCCUGCGAUACGUCGACACGGGCAGCGAGCCAGUGCCUUGCUAGAGGUCCAUCGGCAGCUAGGGCGGAACCAACGGAUGAAAAAUGCUCGUAGACCCAACAUUAAAAAUAUUUUGCAUACAUAUUCAUUAAAAUGGGCGACAACAUAUAAUAAUCAUCGCUAAUGAAUUUAUUUUUUUGUAACAUCUUAAUUAACCUCUAACAGAGUGAUAAAUCCUGCAAGCUAUCUCGAUGUGCUUUUCGACACCUCAUUUAAAUUAUCAUACAUGUGCACAAGUGCAACAGCGCCCCAAGCGUAAGUCCCACUCUGUGUCAAGUCACGCAGUGCAUCCAAGAAUACCACGUGCACGUGUGUGGCACUGUUGUUACCAAAGAGUAUGCAUCCAAGCAGAUGCAACAAAUACGCUAGUGCUACUACAAUCCAGUGACAUGCGUCGAUCUUCAUCCGAUACACAUCUCGCAGCCACGAUAGUCGAACAUAAAAGCCAUGACACUGAAACGUCUCAGCUUUUGCCUCAGCAGUGCUCACCUCGAGUAAUUCAACCAACAUCUCGACAACAUCGUCGACAUGAAGUUGGUCGAAGCUGUGGAACGCUCCUACGACAGGCAAAUGUAGCAUCAAUGCCACGACAUCCAAGGUGAUAGUCACCUCUCCGACGGGAAAAUGGAAAUUACUAGUUUCCUUAUGCCAGCAUUCCACAAAAACGGAUAUUAGUCCUCGAUCGCUCGUAUCUAGGGAACAUGCAAUCAGAUGACUUAGUCCACUGGCAGCCACAAGGCCUUCAAUCUCUAGAGCCGGCCUCCCGAACUUAGUCAUCUUCCUUCCAUGGGAAGAUAGCUUCAACUCAGGACGUUCCUGCAAAUAUUAAUAUUGACCAUGUAAAAAUAUUAUUAAGUUGUAAAUUACGUGUUUUUUGUUUUUUAAAAAAUACAAACCUCUCCAUUCCAGAUUCUGAGAGCAAUGUGAAUUUCAUAAUCUCUCAGAACUGAUGUGUCAUGGGGUCCGCCCAAAAAAACCCUCAACAUCAGUAGAAGGAUCCUCAACAGGUGCUUCUUGAUGCUCUUUGUGCAAUUCCUCUGUAGCCGUAGGAGGAUCCUCAACAACACGCUCUUGCUAUUGCUCCCUGUGAGCAGAUACAGUAGGUCUUCGCCGCUGGGGGCAUCAUUAUCAUCAUCACUCCCUUGUCUCCUCCCCAGGGCUUUUCUUAUUGCCCGACCUAAAGCACGACCAAGAUCUCUAGUUCUAACCAUUAUCUGCACAAUAUUAUUAAAAUUAUUGUGUAUUUUUGUUUCAACAAUCAUUUUAAACUAACUAACAAUUUUUAAUUAUUUCAAAUAUUUGUUUCAAUAAUUGUUUUAAACUAACUAACAAUUUAAAAUUAUUUUAAAUAUUUGUUUCAACAAUUGUUUUAAACUAACUAACAAUUAUGUCAUUAUUUUAAAUAUUUGAUUCAAGUUUUUGUAAAACUAACAAAAUUAAAUUAUGUUAUUUACAAAAUUUUUAAAUUUUGGUUUCAAUAUUUUUUAUAACUAAUAAAUUUAACAUAUUCUAAAAUUUUAUUUCAAUCAUAUUUUAAAAUUUAAAUUUUUGUUUCAUCAAAAUUUUUGUAUACAUUUUUGUUUCAAUCACAAGAUGUACUAGAAGGUUUGGUAUAUUGUUUUGUAUAACUUCAUAAAAGAAUACUGUAUAACUCACUCUUACACUACAAAUCCUUUUUAGUUGAGAAUGUUUCUUGCAAGGAGAAAUUUUGAUCUAACGUUUAUAGAGUUUUAAACUAACUUGAAAUCCCUGGGAAGGGAACAUUCUCACCUAUCUGUCAGUAACAAUUAACAAUUCAACAAGCCAACAGAAGUGCAAACCCAACUAAACUAGGUCCUUGUUCCAAAAUUAACGAUAAAUCAUAGCUUGUUAUCUGAUGUGUGAUAAAAUUGUUUUUAUAAACACAAAACCACUAUGAGAAAGGGAAUCUCAACUCAACAUAACAUUUUUUAAAAUCAUCAAACUCUCCAUGAUGAGAAGUAAGCAAGCUAGAAAAUGCUAUUGUAGAACUUCAAUACAAUCAAACCAAAAAAGAAAGUAUACAAACAAAAAAGUGUCCAACAGAGCAGAGAAAACCUAUUCAACAUUUUGAAAGGUGUAAACUCAAGCAAAAGUGUUAUAGGUCAUACAAUUAGUUUGAGCAUUAUUCUUAUUCUUUUACACCCUCACAUACACUAGCUCUGAGUUUGACCAAUCUCAGUAUACACACAAAUUACAUAUCAAUAAUGAAAUCAAACAAACUCAAAUCCAAAUCUAACUUUGGUGGAAAUGCAACCUACAAACCCUAGAUUAUAGACAAGAUGCAAAUUAAUGAAACCAAACAAUAAAAAUAGGAUUGAAACAAAGAUGAACAAGAAAAAACCCUACAAUACUUAGAUGAGAAAGUGAGAGAGACUAACCUCAGAGAGACAGACAAGCUAUGUUUCACAGAAGAAGUUAGAGUCCUUCGAGAGAGAGAUUGAGCACUCUUUGAAUUAAAAAAAGAGAUCCAAGAGUGAAAUGAGUGAGAGGUCACCAUCAAGGGAGAGAGAGGGGGGGGGGGGGAGUGAGAGAACUAUUGCAAGAGAGGAAGGAGCGAGAGGAACGUGUAAUUUUUUUUUCAAAUUCUUUAAUUUUUGAAGGUAUUUGAAAUCCUAAUAUUUAAGUUAAUUAAAAUACCCAAAAAUUAUAAAAUUGAAAAUGGACUUGCUAAAGGAUGAAGAUGCAUCUAAAGCCAUGGUGGUUUUGACAUUCCUAUUGGUUAAGAACAGUAUGGUUCAAUUGAAAACUUAGUUUCCAUUUCAUAGAAUCUAAUUCCCCACCCCACCCCCUCCUUCUUCUGCAUUUUCAAAUAUGGUGAUUGGUAUCUGUUAGCUACCUAAUAAAAUAAAUGGUACAAGAAGCAAGGGAAACAAAGUAAUCAGAGGUAUUAUUAAUUAUACAUUACUUCUAUGUUGGGGAAGUAUAAUGCAGUUGUGUGUUCUCCCUAACUACAAGUUAAAAGCUUUUGAAAUUAGCUCAGCCUAAUCUUUAGGAUAGCAACAUAAAACAACAAACACAUGGUGGCAAUUCUCCGCAUUGAAACAUAAAAAUGUAUGUUACUAUACAUUUGGAAAAAAUGUAUUUGCUACCAAUUCUUUGCAUUGAAACAUAAAACAACAAACACAUGGUGGCAAACACGAUGAAAGGAAUAACCAUUUAGAUAAAUGCUAUAGAGCACUUAAAGUCAUGAUGAUAAUAAGGAAUAUAUCAAGGAAUAUCAUUAACCUAUAAAGUAUUGUAAUGUGUACAAACAUACUUUAUAUAAUAAAGAUCGUUGCUUCAGCAAAAUCAACAAAGGUGCAAAUUGCUUGCUGCAAAUUUCCACUUAUGCACCUACUAGUGGAGAUCCCUUUCACUGCUAAAUAAUAUUAAAUCUAAUGGAAACUAAAAAUUUAAAUAGCUAUUUUUAUUUUUACCUUUGUAAAACAAGGACUAAAUUUGAAACUCUGUAAAUUAAGAGUGGUAAGAGAAACUUAUGCAAUAAACUCUAUGAAUCAAGGAAUAGUAUCCACUUGUUUUUCAAUAAAUUCUAUGAAUCGAGAAACUUAUACAAUAACCUUUGCUUCGAAUGUAAAACAGAACACAAACAAAACAUAUAACCAUAGAAGUAAGCACAUACUAAUAUUUAUGUAAUACUUGGAAUGUUAUAUAAAAAAGUUAUUAAUGUGUAAAGCACUUGAGGAUGAACAAUACAUACUAGAGGAAAAUAUGAACCCUAAGAUUGGAAUUCAACGGAGUAAAAUAUGAUUAAUGAGAGAAAAACAAAAAAUUUAUGAAAUAGUCAUCACAGAAGAACAACAUCGAAAUCAUGAAUCCCUAGAACCAAAUCUCAAUAAAAAAAACCCUAACAAAUGAUAGAGCAAGAUGAAGCAGGGAGAGAGAAGUUUGAGAGCCAGGGAUCAAGUCUGUGAUAGCAAGUAUUGAGAAAAAUAAAUGAACCCUAGAUUGGAAUUCAAUUGAGUAAAAUGCGAUUUAGAUUAAGAUGAGAAUAAAACAAAACAAUUAUCACAAAAGAACAACAUCAAAACCAUGAAGCCGUUUAACCACAUCUCAAUAAAAACACAAGUAAAAAAUACAGUAAGAUGAACCAAAGAGAGAAGUUCAAGAUUGAGGCUCUGCAUGCGAGAGUGAGCAAGCGAGGCUCCACGUCGAGAGCACAAAGGUGCGCCUCCAUUCAGAGUGAGAAUUUCCAAAUUCAAUCUCUUGAGAUGGAAAUUGAAAUUCUAUUUUUUUCAGCUAACUAAAAUUCCUUCUUAAAUCCUAAAAUUUUAAAUUCCUUUUAGUAAAAUAUCCAAACAGUUACUGUUAAUAG
rnacentral:lncRNA from 1 species